AAGACCUUGAACAAUAUUUGCUCUAUAGGUUGUACAUCCCCAUUGACACAAUGGAGACUCUCACGACGAUCUGGAAUAUAACGUAAUGGCCAGAGUGUGAGUAAUGGCUCUGGGCCCAUGGGGCUCCAUUAGCCUGAGGGGAUCGCUCUCAUCAUCGUGGAUGGGAAUGGCCAUGUGGCAAUCUAAUAGAUC
rnacentral:snoRNA from 1 species